rnacentral:rRNA from 1 species
GAACGAACGCUGGCGGCAGGCCUAACACAUGCAAGUCGAACGGGAUCUUCGGAUCUAGUGGCGGACGGGUUAGUAACGCGUGGGAACGUACCCUUUUCUACGGAAUAGCCUCGGGAAACUGAGAGUAAUACCGUAUACGCCCUUCGGGGGAAAGAUUUAUCGGAGAAGGAUCGGCCCGCGUAAGAUUAGAUAGUUGGUGGGGUAAUGGCCUACCAAGUCUACGAUCUUUAGCUGGUUUGAGAGGAUGAUCAGCAACACUGGGACUGAGACACGGCCCAGACUCCUACGGGAGGCAGCAGUGGGGAAUCUUAGACAAUGGGGGAAACCCUGAUCUAGCCAUGCCGCGUGAGUGACGAAGGCCUUAGGGUCGUAAAGCUCUUUCGCUGGGGAAGAUAAUGACUGUACCCAGUAAAGAAACCCCGGCUAACUCCGUGCCAGCAGCCGCGGUAAUAC